rnacentral:rRNA from 1 species
GACGAACGCUGGCGGCGUGCUUAACACAUGCAAGUCGAACGGUGAAGCGAGUGCUUGCACUCGUGGAUCAGUGGCGAACGGGUGAGUAACACGUGAGUAACCUGCCCAUCACUCUGGGAUAAGCACUGGAAACGGUGUCUAAUACUGGAUACGACCAACCCUUGCAUGGGGUGUUGGUGGAAAGAUUUAUCGGUGAUGGAUGGACUCGCGGCCUAUCAGCUUGUUGGCGGGGUAAUGGCCCACCAAGGCGACGACGGGUAGCCGGCCUGAGAGGGUGACCGGCCACAAUGGGACUGAGACACGGCCCCGACUCCUACGGGAGGCAGCAGUGGGGAAUAUUGCACAAUGGGCGAAAGCCUGAUGCAGCGACGCCGCGUGAGGGAUGACGGCCUUCGGGUUGUAAACCUCUUUCAGCAGGGAAGAAGCGAAAGUGACGGUACCUGCAGAAGAAGCACCGGCUAACUACGUG